GACGAACGCUGGCGGCGUGCUUAACACAUGCAAGUCGAACGGAAAGGCCCUGCUUUUGUGGGGUGCUCGAGUGGCGAACGGGUGAGUAACACGUGAGUAACCUGCCCUUGACUUUGGGAUAACUUCAGGAAACUGGGGCUAAUACCGGAUAGGAGCUCCUGCUGCAUGGUGGGGGUUGGAAAGUUUCGGCGGUUGGGGAUGGACUCGCGGCUUAUCAGCUUGUUGGUGGGGUAGUGGCUUACCAAGGCUUUGACGGGUAGCCGGCCUGAGAGGGUGACCGGCCACAUUGGGACUGAGAUACGGCCCAGACUCCUACGGGAGGCAGAAGUGUGGAAUAUUGCACUAUGGGCGGAAGCCUGAUGCAGCAACGCCGCGUUCGGGAUGACGGCCUUCGGGUUGUAAACCGCUUUCGCCUGUGACGAAGCGUGAGUGAAGGUAAUGGGUAAAGAAGCACCGGCUAACUACGUG
rnacentral:rRNA from 1 species